rnacentral:rRNA from 1 species
CCCCUAGAUGUUCUGGGCCGCACGCGCGCUACACUGAACAGUUCAACAAGUCUUAACCUUGGCCGAUAGGUCUGGGUAAUCUUUGAACGCUGUUCGUGAUUGGGAUAGACCUUUGCAAUUAUGGGUCUUCAACGAGGAAUUCCUAGUAAACGCAAGUCAUCAGCUUGCAUUGAUUACGUCCCUGCCCUUUGUACACACCGCCCGUCGCACCUACCGAUUGAAUGGUCCGGUGAAAUCUCGGGGCGGCGGCUUGGUCGCUUGCGUCCGACUGCUGAAACUUGAUUAAACCAUAUCAUUUAGAGGAAGGUGAANUCGUANCA